UCUCAGUCCUGCUAAGUCUGACUUUUACUAUCGGUGGAAUCUGGUGUUCUCAGAGUUAGAGUGAUGGUUCCGUGGGUAAACGUGCCUGCCUCCAAGCCUGGUCACGACUGAAGAGGAUAUAACUCAUAAUAAGAAAUUGGCAGAGUUGAAGACAGAAGAAUAACUAACUUGAUAUACUCUCACAUAACUAACUAACUGCUACUUUGCCUGACAUUACCUUUUUGGGUCUCCUUUCUAAGUGUCAUAAUAAAGUUAAACAUAUCUACUUACAUAUAAACAUUUGAACCACAUAGGAUAAGAUCUGCAUAUGAAGUAGAUGAUGUGAGUUUCUUUUUGAGUUGGUGUUACCUGGUUUAAUGCUAUUCAUUAAAAGUCCAUCAAGCUUCCUA